rnacentral:rRNA from 1 species
CCUACGGGAGGCAGCAGUGGGGAAUAUUGCGCAAUGGGCGAAAGCCUGACGCAGCGACGCCGCGUGAGGGAUGAAGGUCUUCGGAUCGUAAACCUCUGUCAGCAGGGAAGAACGGUCACUGUGCUAAUCAGCAGUGAAUUGACGGUACCUGCAAAGGAAGCACCGGCUACCUCCGUGCCAGCAGCCGCGGUAAUACGGAGGGUGGGAGCGUUAAUCGGAUUUACUGGGCGUAAAGCGCUAUGAGGCGGUAUGUCAAGUCAAGGGUGAAAUCCCCGCGCUCAACGUGGGAACUGCCUUUGAAACUGGCAAACUUGAGUGUGUGAGAGGAUAGUGGAAUUCCAGGUGUAGGAGUGAAAUCCGUAGAGAUCUGGAGGAACAUCAGUGGCGAAGGCGACUAUCUGGCACAUAACUGACGCUGAGGAGCGAAAGCGUGGGUAGCAAACAGGAUUAGAUACCCGAGUAGUC